rnacentral:rRNA from 1 species
UACGGAGGGUGCAAGCGUUAUCCGGAUUCACUGGGUUUAAAGGGUGCGUAGGUGGGUCUGUAAGUCAGUGGUGAAAUCUCCAAGCUUAACUUGGAAACUGCCGUUGAUACUAUAGACCUUGAAUGCUGUGGAGGUGAGCGGAAUAUGUCAUGUAGCGGUGAAAUGCUUAGAUAAUGGACAUAGAACACCAAAUUGCGAAGGCAGCUCACUACCCAGAUAUUGACACUGAGGCACGAAAGCGUGGGGAUCAAACAGG